CACGCGCAGUAAAUAAAUAUCAAUCGUUCCAACAGUCUUAACAGCGAUGGACGUAGAAAAUUUUGUGGGAAUGGUUGAUUGAAUUCUGGAAACUGAAUACAUUUUCAUGAUGGACAAUGAUUAAGACUCUGAGACCACGUGGGAUGAGCUCGCGUCUUGAUGAAAUUGUAUCACGCAACCUCUUCUCUUCCUCUAGAAUUCACGGGGUUUGUCGCGACCUACUGAGGUGAGGUACAAUGGCAGAAGUUGAACUAAAAUUAAGAUGGUAUCCAAAAUUUAGAAAAUUAUCUAGUAAGGGAUUGGAGAUCUGUAUUUAAUUCGGACGAAAUUAUUAGGAUUCGUGUCCAGUGUAUGUUUCUUAUGUAAUAUGCUAUAAAUAAAGUAUUUUAUUAUGUACGGUAACUAAUUGAAUAAAAUGCAUCACUCUAAGGAAUUUUAA
rnacentral:lncRNA from 1 species